rnacentral:tRNA from 1 species
AUUUAUAUAGCUUAUAAUAUAGAGCAUUGCAUUGAAGCUGCAAAGGUGGUUUUUACCUGUGAAUA